UGGCCGUUAAGACAAAUAUCAGAGAAGCCGAUCAAAUUAAAAAUUAACAAGAUGGAGGAAUGUGUAUUUUGAAAGGGACAGGUGCUCUAAGAACAACCGGAAGUCAGUUGGUGUAGUUUGACCGCUGAUUUGGCCGCUCAAUCAACACGGCCCCGGCAGCUACUGGUCGGCUUCUGCACUGGAUGGAGACAAUUAUGCAGCUUCACCAGGGUCAAGAGACAGGAAGCAGUCUCCUCCUGUCGUCCGUCUUUUAAGAGCCGCCCGCCAUGACGGACGUCCAGCUUAGUCGGAGCCUUCCUGGUUCUCCAGGAUCGGAUCUGAGGACGUGGACAGAGGACGACGUGAAGUCGGCAGAUUUGCAUUUGUGCUGCUGAUGUUGGGAGGAGACACAAUCAGCACGGUGCUGCCAGAUGUUAUCCCAGAAUGCACCACUGGACCCUCAAUAGACGGUGAACUCAGCUCCUGACACACAGUUAUUAGUCAUUAUAAACUC